UAGUGGCGCCACGCACUCCCACCCACACUCACGUGUGCGGUUAAAGAAGGUUGCACGUAUACACGCGGUGGUAUAGUGCACUCAACGGCAGCGCUGGCCGGCCGUGCAAGUGCAACGUGUGCAUCACGUACAUCGACGAUGAUGUCAGAAGAAUUUGCACCUGGCGGUACGCGAAUGUAUGCCGACGAUCGUACGCUACAUCGUCCAGAGGAAACGAAGAAGGAGAAGCGAAUUCCUGGUGUCGUUAGGAGGUAUAUUGCGAUGGAAACUCCUGGCGAAUGUAUGGCUACAUCUUACUCCAUGGAUACACACCGGCUGAAUGCAAAUAAUUAUCGUGGUUAGUUUACGGUUGCUCGCACGGUAUCGUUUGCUACUGCCGAGAUAAGAACAUGGAAGGGAAAUAUGCGCGUCUGAUGUGUGUACGGCAUGUGAGAGAACGGACACGUUGUCUCGUAUAGCGUAAAUUAUCGGAGACGCUGCUAAGGUAAUUUCUUGUCAUUCCUUAAUAAAUUCCCUAAUAAUUACGCGGACGAUCGUACGACUAAACAGGAGGAUAUGUAAAUCUGGUCGAACGAUGAUUAAUAUACGUUGAGAAGCGUGGUCUCGUCCAUGGUGCAGGUAGACCGCCACGAACGCGAUCGCGAAAGGAAGACAAGGCGGGAAGGAAGGGGUAAGUGCACGAGAUACAGGUUGAUCGAUUUGGUAGACAGGUUACCGGUUCCUCAGGGGCGGCAUCAGUGGAUCUUCAGAGGUUCCAGAGAGGCUACUGAAUUACUGACAGCCAAAUAACAGGCCGAUCCCUGGCGUGAUGUUCCACGCGUUGUCGGCGCCCUUUCUCUUCCACCGUUCCUCUUGCUCUGCGGCGUCUCGCAGCUCGAACCUGCGGUGCUUGGUUGUCCCAAUAUGGGCCAACAUAUUAUGCAUAUCGGCCAUCGUGCCUCUUAUCUAAACGACGUAAGUACGGGCGCUUCUCUUUGGAGAAGCCGCCUGCAAAUGUUCAUCGUGUCCCGGUGCUUAUCCGAGCCGCUGCCAUUCGUCGGAUCAACUUGAUUAGGCCAGAAUCCUUCGGACAGCUCCGUAAAUGAAACGUACCCAUCUCGAAAACUAGUAAGACGAUCCCGCAGCUACCGUCCUCCGACCGCUAGAAAAUAACACCGGUAAUAAUACCAGGUUUUAACCAGAUGCGAUAAAGCGAAUCGUUCCUGUUUCGUUCUUCGUUUAGAUACUUAUUGCAUCACGGCAUUCGGAGAAUAG
rnacentral:misc_RNA from 1 species